AGAUGUGAGGGUGAUCUGGCUGUGACAUCCAUCGCCCCAUUGACCACCAGGGUUGAUUCAGCCGCUGAUCUGGCUGGACCAGUAGGUGUCCCCUCCCUCCCUCACUGCUCCAUGCUCAUCCCUCCUAAAGCUCCGUGCUCUGUCAAGGAGGACGGCCUUCCCCAGACGACCUUCCCUGAUAGAGGAGGACUGAUCUUCAGUCAAGGGUACACGAGCAGCUGUGCUCCCCUGCUAGAACCUCAAACAAGCGCUCAAAGUAUGAGCUCCCUCUUUGGAUUUGCCUCCCGCCUUGGGUGUUCAGUUCCACUGGGACCACAGGCUUCCACACCUAG
rnacentral:snRNA from 1 species